rnacentral:rRNA from 1 species
GACGAACGCUGGCGGUGUGCCUAAUACAUGCAAGUUGAGCGCUGAAGGUUGGUACUUGUACCGACUGGAUGAGCAGCGAACGGGUGAGUAACGCGUGGGGAAUCUGCCUUUGAGCGGGGGACAACAUUUGGAAACGAAUGCUAAUACCGCAUAAAAACUUUAAACACAAGUUUUAAGUUUGAAAGAUGCAAUUGCAUCACUCAAAGAUGAUCCCGCGUUGUAUUAGCUAGUUGGUGAGGUAAAGGCUCACCAAGGCGAUGAUACAUAGCCGACCUGAGAGGGUGAUCGGCCACAUUGGGACUGAGACACGGCCCAAACUCCUACGGGAGGCAGCAGUAGGGAAUCUUCGGCAAUGGACGAAAGUCUGACCGAGCAACGCCGCGUGAGUGAAGAAGGUUUUCGGAUCGUAAAACUCUGUUGGUAGAGAGGAACGUUGGUGAGAGUGGAAAGCUCAUCAAGUGACGGUAACUACCCAGAAAGGGACGGCUAACUACGUG